UACAGAGGUCUCAAGCGUUGUUCGGAUUCAUUGGGCGUAAAGGGUGCGUAGGCGGCGCGGUAAGUCGGGUGUGAAAUCUUGGAGCUUAACUCCGAGACUGCAUUCGAUACUGCCGUGCUUGAGGACUGGAGAGGAGACUGGAAUUUACGGUGUAGCGGUGAAAUGCGUAGAUAUCGGAAGGAAGACCAGUGGCGAAGGCGGGUCUCUGGACAGUUCCUGACGCUGAGGCACGAAGGCCAGGGGAGCAAACGGG
rnacentral:rRNA from 1 species